CACGUAGGGGGCGAGCGUUGUUCGGAAUUACUGGGCGUAAAGGGCAUGUAGGCGGCCCUUCAAGCCUGGCGUGAAAGACCGCAGCUCAACUGCGGGUAUGCGCUGGGAACUGGGGGGCUUGAGUUACGGAGAGGAAGCUGGAAUUCCUGGUGUAGGGGUGAAAUCUGUAGAGAUCAGGAAGAACACCGAUGGCGAAGGCAAGCUUCUGGCCGAUAACUGACGCUGAGGUGCGAAAGUGUGGGGAUCAAACAGGAUUAGAUACCCUGGUAGUCCACACGGUCAACGAUGUGCACUAGGUGCCGGGACGGUAGUUUCGGUGCCGGAGCGAACGCGGUAAGUGCACCGCCUGGGGAGUAUGCUCGCAAGGGUGAA
rnacentral:rRNA from 1 species